ACGAGCGCACCCUUGUCAUUAAUUGCCAUCAUUUGGUUGGGCACUUUAAUGAAACUGCGCGUGACAAACCGGAGGAAAGUGGGGAUGACAUCUAGUCCUCAUGGCCCUUAUGGGUAGGGCUUCACACGUCAUACAAUGGUCGGUACACAGGGUUGCCAAGCCGCGAGGUGGAGCCAAUCCCACAAAGCCCAUCGUAGUCCGGAAUUGAGUCUGCAACUCCACUCCCUGAAGUCUGAAUCUGCUUAAUCGCGGAUCCCAUGCCCGGUGAAUACGUUC
rnacentral:rRNA from 1 species